rnacentral:rRNA from 1 species
UACGUAGGGGGCAAGCGUUGUCCGGAUUUAUUGGGCGUAAAGAGCGUGUAGGCGGCCAUACAGGUCAGCUGUGAAAACUCGAGGCUCAACCUCGAGACGUCGGUUGAAACCGUAUGGCUAGAGUCCGGAAGAGGAGAGUGGAAUUCCCGGUGUAGCGGUGAAAUGCGCAGAUAUCGGGAAGAACACCGGUGGCGAAGGCGGGUCUCUGGGCCGUUACUGACGCUGAGGAGCGAAAGCGUGGGGAGCGAACAGG